rnacentral:ncRNA from 1 species
AGAAGCUGUAUGAGGUGAGAAUCUCAUGUACGGUUCUGUAAUAGCGAUGGGAACAAUGAUGUUCUCGCCGACUAUGAU